rnacentral:lncRNA from 15 species
UUAAUGACCUUCAUAUGACCCAUUCAUAUUCUGGUUUACAACCUGCGUACAACCUUUGUGUAAACAGCUGACCUUUAUAUGACCUUUGUGUAAACAGCUGACCUUUAUAUGACCUUUGUGUAAACAGCUGACCUUUAUAUGACCUUUGUAUCCCAAAGUUAAAACAACCUGACUGACUCUUCUACUGAAGAGAGUCCAUUGAUUUCAGUGUAGAAUGUUAGCAUUGCUAGCAGGGCUCAUUGAUUUGAAUAAGAAACGUUAAUACUGUUAGCACGCUAACAUUGCUAGGAACUACUGAUGUAAAUGGAGCAUGCUAAUAUUAGCAUGGCUCAUUCAUUUGAAUUGGGAUUGAACGUGAUCAUUUCACUGAAGAAUGCUAACAUUGUUAGCAAUUUACAUUGAUGGGUUCCAUAGGUUUUGGGGGGUUUUAAUAGAAGAUGCUAGCAGGGCCUAUAGAUAUAAUGGGAAUGCUAACAGUGCUAGCAGGGCCUAUAGAUUUAAUGGGGAAUGCUAACAGUGCUAGCAGGGCCUAUAGAUUUAAUGGGGAAUGAGUUUUCAUGAUGCGUUUAAGAGCUCUGUAAAUAUGA